AAUUCUGGUCGUAAUUUAUGGACAGUCUCAGCUCCUUGGCACUUUAUUUACUACUAUACUCCUGGACGGACUAUUUUGACGAUAAGAUUGAAUAAAUUUACAUUUUACUUUAAAUUCUAAUUCGCGUACAUUUUAUGUAAAAUUUACUUCAAAUGUCAUCGUCCGUUUUGGCCAGCCCUUAAAAAUAUUGCAAAUUAUAACAUUUUUAUCUUCCCGACUGUUAAAGUAAGAAAGAAAGCAUUGUAAUCAGUCAAAUUCUCAGGGCUUUCGUAUUUCUCGACGUUUUAGGUCCUUCGAUUCCAAAACCAAAGACGGAAACGAUUUGUUUGCGCGUUGGCCUAUAUUUUAUGUAUCAGGCUUUCUACGGACCAAUUGCAUUGAUGCUGUUACAUUUUGAAGAAUAUAAACCGAAGGGGAUAAGAAAAGGUUUUCACCCGGCUGGCGAUGAGCAGGUUUGACCGUAAUUUUAAAUCAAGGCCGUCGAUCGGCAAAACAGUUAAAAGUAUUAACAAAAUUAUAUUUUAAUUGUAAAAAAAGUAUUCUUAAUAUUCAAAAAGUUGUACUUAUAAUGAUAAAACGACUUUCUCAUUAUAAUUAAAAGUUUUUGUUAUAAUUCAUGGACGUACUUUAAGUUUUUAGUAAAGUUAAAAAUGUUUGUUCGCGUUAAUUCAACUGUAGUUUAGAAAUUUAAAAAUUUAUUUUUUUUAAGAUGAGCCAAUCUAGAAAUUUGUCUGAUUCUUUUCCUCUCCGAAAAAAAGUUCAAUUCUACAGAACAUUUAUUCAAUGUACAGUACAGUACAAUCCUGGUGUCGAGUGAAUAACUCGUGAUGAUAUUUGUUCAGCUCAUUGCAUCAUUAAGUGUUAAAUACGAUGGAAUUAAAGCACUUACAAGGCACGCCGACUGCGAGAAGCACAAAAGUGGUGUACCAAUCGAAACUUCUCAUACAAUAAAAACUUUUUGCAAAGGACUCGAGUGUAAAAAUUUAGAGCAGUUAAAGUUACCAAAAUUUUUCAUAAUGCAAAACGUGGAUUAAUUAAUCUGCAGUUCUGGUGAUUGUGAAUUUUUUCUUCAAAGAUCAGCGUUAAACCCGGUGGAAGCAUAAAAAAUUUCUAACCUGUCAUUCUGUCAUUCAAGAGGCUUGCUUUACGGAUAUAUAAAAAUAUAUUUAAAAUAUAAUAAAAUUCCUAUGGAAUACUUCAGUCACCUCAUUAAACAUCCAAGAGAUUUUUAGAUAACAGUAUAGAAGGAAAAACUGUAUCAGUUCCUGAACAAACCAGAAAAAUACUAAUUGC